GACGGAGGAUCCGAGCGUUAUCCGGAGUGACUGGGCGUAAAGAGUUGCGUAGGCGGUUUGUUAAGUAGAUAGUGAAAUCAAGUGGCUCAACCAUUUGGCUAUUAUCUAAACUGGCAAACUUGACAAUGAGAGAGGUAGCUGGAAUUCCUAGUGUAGGAGUGAAAAUCCGUAGAUAUUAGGAGGAACACCAAUGGCGUAGGCAGCUACUGGCUCAUUUGUGACGCUGAGGCACGAAAGCGUGGGGAGCGAACCGG
rnacentral:rRNA from 1 species